AGUGAACGCUGGCGGUAGGCCUAACACAUGCAAGUCGAACGGCAGCACAGUAAGAGCUUGCUCUUACGGGUGGCGAGUGGCGGACGGGUGAGGCAUACAUCGGAAUCUACUUUUUCGUGGGGGAUAACGUAGGGAAACUUACGCUAAUACAGCAUACGACCUACGGGUGAAAGCAGGGGAUCUUCGGACCUUGCGCGAUUGAAUGAGCCGAUGUCGGAUUAGCUAGUUGGCGGGGUAAAGGCCCACCAAGGCGACGAUCCGUAGCUGGUCUGAGAGGAUGAUCAGCCACACUGGAACUGAGACACGGUCCAGACUCCUACGGGAGGCAGCAGUGGGGAAUAUUGGACAAUGGGCGCAAGCCUGAUCCAGCCAUACCGCGUGGGUGAAGAAGGCCUUCGGGUUGUAAAGCCCUUUUGUUGGGAAAGAAAAGCAGCAGGUUAAUACCCCGCUGUUCUGACGGUACCCAAAGAAUAAGCACCGGCUAACUUCGUG
rnacentral:rRNA from 1 species